rnacentral:rRNA from 2 species
AGGGUUUCCGCCCUUUAGUGCUGAAGUUAACGCAUUAAGCACUCCGCCUGGGGAGUACGGCCGCAAGGCUGAAACUCAAAGGAAUUGACGGGGGCCCGCACAAGCGGUGGAGCAUGUGGUUUAAUUCGAAGCAACGCGAAGAACCUUACCAGGUCUUGACAUCCUCUGAAAACCCUAGAGAUAGGGCUUCUCCUUCGGGAGCAGAGUGACAGGUGGUGCAUGGUUGUCGUCAGCUCGUGUCGUGAGAUGUUGGGUUAAGUCCCGCAACGAGCGCAACCCUUGAUCUUAGUUGCCAUCAUUAAGUUGGGCACUCUAAGGUGACUGCCGGUGACAAACCGGAGGAAGGUGGGGAUGACGUCAAAUCGUCAUGCCCCUUAUGACCUGGGCUACACACGUGCUACAAUGGACGGUACAAAGAGCUGCAAGACCGCGAGGUGGAGCUAAUCUCAUAAAACCG